rnacentral:rRNA from 1 species
CUAUAAGACUGGGAUAACUUCGGGAAACCGGAGCUAAUACCGGAUAAUAUUUUGAACCGCAUGGUUCAAAAGUGAAAGACGGUCUUGCUGUCACUUAUAGAUGGAUCCGCGCUGCAUUAGCUAGUUGGUAAGGUAACGGCUUACCAAGGCAACGAUGCAUAGCCGACCUGAGAGGGUGAUCGGCCACACUGGAACUGAGACACGGUCCAGACUCCUACGGGAGGCAGCAGUAGGGAAUCUUCCGCAAUGGGCGAAAGCCUGACGGAGCAACGCCGCGUGAGUGAUGAAGGUCUUCGGAUCGUAAAACUCUGUUAUUAGGGAAGAACAUAUGUGUAAGUAACUGUGCACAUCUUGACGGUACCUAAUCAGAAAGCCACGGCUAACUACGUGCCAGCAGCCGCGGUAAUACGUAGGUGGCAAGCGUUAUCCGGAAUUAUUGGGCGUAAAGCGCGCGUAGGCGGUUUUUUAAGUCUGAUGUGAAAGCCCACGGCUCAACCGUGGAGGGUCAUUGGAAACUGGAAAACUUGAGUGCAGAAGAGGAAAGUGGAAUUCCAUGUGUAGCGGUGAAAUGCGCAGAGAUAUGGAGGAACACCAGUGGCGAAGGCGACUUUCUGGUCUGUAACUGACGCUGAUGUGCGAAAGCGUGGGGAUCAAACAGGAUUAGAUACCCUGGUAGUCCACGCCGUAAACGAUGAGUGCUAAGUGUUAGGGGGUUUCCGCCCCUUAGUGCUGCAGCUAACGCAUUAAGCACUCCGCCUGGGGAGUACGACCGCAAGGUUGAAACUCAAAGGAAUUGACGGGGACCCGCACAAGCGGUGGAGCAUGUGGUUUAAUUCGAAGCAACGCGAAGAACCUUACCAAAUCUUGACAUCCUUUGACAACUCUAGAGAUAGAGCCUUCCCCUUCGGGGGACAAAGUGACAGGUGGUGCAUGGUUGUCGUC